GACGAACGCUGGCGGCGUGCUUAACACAUGCAAGUCGAGCGGUAAGGCCCUUUCGGGGGUACACGAGCGGCGAACGGGUGAGUAACACGUGGGUGACCUGCCCUUAGCUCUGGGAUAAGCCUGGGAAACUGGGUCUAAUACCGGAUAUGACUCCAUGACGCAUGUUGUGGGGUGGAAAGCCUUGUGCGGCUAGGGAUGGGCCCGNGGCCUAUCAGCUUGUGGUGGGGUNAUGGCCACAAGGCGACGACGGGUAGCCGGCCUGAGAGGGCGACCGGCCACACUGGGACUGAGACACGGCCCAGACUCCUACGGGAGGCAGCAGUGGGGAAUCUUGCGCAAUGGGCGAAAGCCUGACGCAGCGACGCCGCGUGAGGGAUGACGGCCU
rnacentral:rRNA from 1 species